rnacentral:lncRNA from 1 species
AGGGAGUCAAAUGACAGGACUCUCGUCAGUAAGAGGUAAGGAUUGAGAUUCAAAGGUGGUGUCAUCUUCUUUUGUUUAGUGGGCCUGGAUUAGGGGUGUCAACAAGUCGAAUCGAAACUCUCAACUAGGACUCGGUUCUAGCUUUUUGAAAGUAGACUUUUUUUUGCCCAAGCCGACCCGAGCUUUUGGCUCGAGCCUUACCGGGCUGGGCCGAGCCGACUCGACUCGAUUUUCCCAAAAUUUUUAAUUCUUUUCCUUCAUAUCUGCCUGUUUGGCAGCCAGAAUGGCUGCCAAUAGGCUACUCGCCAGAAUGGCUGCCAAUAGGCUACUCGGAUGCUACCUAACCGACAGCUAUCGGUUAAGUCAAAUUAGUUGCCAAACAGUAGCAGAUUGAUAACCCUCAAUAAUUUUUUUUAUAGUCAAACAAGCUGGGGCUUUUUUCGAGCUGAACCACAAGUCGACGAGCCCGAUUGCUAUCCCUAGCUUGGACGAAUGUGAGUGUGAAAAAGAUGAAUAACACAGUGACAGUGGUAGGCAUAUGCCUAUCACUAUAUGUAUUGCAUCUCCAUUUUACCAAUUUUUUUGCACUUGUUGAGGGUGAUAAAACAUUUGCUAGCAAGUUUAUCCCCCCGGUUGGUUAGCAAGCAAGAUAAUAUUCUCCAGAUUUAAAUCGAUGAUAUAUAUGAUUUACUACAUUGGAUGUUUAAAAGGAUUUUUGGAUUGAAUUUUUAUUAUAUGUAAGCAAUUUGGAGUGGAGACAUUGAAAUCAGUUUAGAUUUCUUCUUCAAAUGCUUGGUGGAAUGUUGAAAAAAAAGCCUUUAGUGAAAAGAAUUUGUUGAGGAGAUCAG